UUAACCACGUGGAAGAAUAUAUCAGAAUUAACAGUUAGAAGCAUAUCUUGUCUGUCAUGUCGUUUCGGCAAUACGAUUCCUGCGACUAAUUAACAUAAUAUUGGAGUUUUAAAUAUCAAAAUGAUUUCUGCAACUAAUUAGCAUAAUUUGAGUUGUGAAAAUAUACUAACCAGGGAUUGCAAAUAAUGAUUAUGAACCAGAGGCAGGUAUGAUGUCCCUGGCGAAAAGGAUGGAGCUGCAACACAAUAGAAAGCAAUAAAAACAGGUGAUGGAAUAAAGUUUCCUCAAAUAAAAAGUUCAGCUAUAUGAUUGCAAAUAUCAUGAAUAGGUCUUGCUUUUCUGCAGAGAGGUCGUGAGAAAAUCAGUUUUCACAUUUUUGCCAUCGUUAGGAAUGUUACAAGAAAUAAUUAUCUGACCGGAUGCCAGGAAAGCAUAUUUCUCCCUAAAGUUUCUCCCCUUUUUUCUCACUGCCAGUGUCUCCAUUGUAUCNAUAAUUUGAGUUGUGAAAAUAUACUAACCAGGGAUUGCAAAUAAUGAUUAUGAACCAGAGGCAGAUAUGAUGUAACUGGCAAAAAGGAUGGAGCUGCAACACAAUAGAAGGCAAUAAGAACAGGUGAUGGAAUAAGGUUUCCUUAAAUAAAAAGUUCAGCUAUAUGAUUGAAAAUAUCAUGAAUAGGUCUUGCUUUUCUGGAGAGAGGCCGUGAGAAAAAUCAGUUUUCACAUUUUUGCCAUCGUUAGGAAUAUUACACGAAAUAAUUAUCUGACCGGAUGCCAGGAAGGCAUAUUUCUCCCCAAAGUUUCUCCCCUUUUUUCUCACUGCCAGUGUCUCCAUUGUAUCAUUCAUUAAGAGAAACCCAACACAUCUAAACACAUGAAGUCCAGCAACGUGACUAGUGCCAUUCAGAGUCAGAUGGAUUUUCCGUCACAUAUGAGUUCGAUCAAUAGAGGAAGAUUUGAGACUGCUAAUUAUGCAUCUAUGAGUGACAUGGAGAAGUAGAGUAGGAGAGUUCUAUUGGAAAGAAGCUGCAGAACAGAAACUAAAUGCAGAUUUUUCUAAUGCAUUUUACUAUCAGGAAUUGGGAUGGGGUAGCAAACAUUUUCCAGAGAGUUUUUGGUCUGUUGAAUGUAUGCACCAUAGAGUUCUUUAAACACGUGCUUGCAG
rnacentral:lncRNA from 1 species